AGUGAACGCUGGCGGUGGGCCUAACACAUGCAAGUCGAACGGCAGCACAGUAAGAGCUUGCUCUUACGGGUGGCGAGUGGCGGACGGGUGAGGAAUACAUCGGAAUCUACUUUUUCGUGGGGGAUAACGUAGGGAAACUUACGCUAAUACCGCAUACGACCUACGGGUGAAAGCAGGGGAUCUUCGGACCUUGCGCGAUUGAAUGAGCCGAUGUCGGAUUAGCUAGUUGGCGGGGUAAAGGCCCACCAAGGCGACGAUCCGUAGCUGGUCUGAGAGGAUGAUCAGCCACACUGGAACUGAGACACGGUCCAGACUCCUACGGGAGGCAGCAGUGGGGAAUAUUGGACAAUGGGCGCAAGCCUGAUCCAGCCAUACCGCGUGGGUGAAGAAGGCCUUCGGGUUGUAAGGCCCUUUUGUUGGGAAAGAAAAGCAGCAGGUUAAUACCCCGCUGUUCUGACGGUACCCAAAGAAUAAGCACCGGCUAACUUCGUG
rnacentral:rRNA from 1 species